ensembl:lncRNA
CUGGAGGCUGUUACAGGGCAGGACUGCUGCCUCCUCUGUUUUCUUAUGAAAUACACCCACAAAGCAACCUGCAGAGGCUCCAGUCUGCCAAAUCAAAGGGAUCGCAGUUGUCCCAGGGCUACACACUCAGAGCAGCAUUCCAAGCAAAGCUACAUUUCUAAAACCUGGGCUGCAGAAAUUAAAGGCGCAGGCAGCCUUUCCUUCCUUCCCCCAUCGCCUCUGACUGCAUCCUGUCCCACCUCCCCUUUGCUCCCCCCUCCCUCCCCCCGACAUUGACAAGAACUGAAGCGAUGAACUUUUCCAGCCCACGUGGAUGUCCUGGAUCCCGAACCACAGCGGCUCUCCAUCCCUCGGCACCAGCUCCUUUGUGACCGUGCUCCCCCACACCACGACGUUCCUUCUGGCUCUUCUCCAAUUCCAGACUGAUUCGUGUUCACUCAUACAGCCUCUUCGACUGCAGUGCCCAGAAGUGGAGGCAAUGAGACUUAAGUGAGCAUCCUCUGCUUUUGAAAUGAAUACGUUCUCUUGAAAUCAGUCUUUGCUGAGGAAAAAAAAGACCACUUUCGAAGGAAAUGCACCAUCUGGAGAGGCUUUACUGGUACAAAAAGUUGACUUUCUGUUGCUUCAGUAUCUGACACAGUGAGAGAUGUCUCCAUGAGGUCCUCCGCACUACGAUGGCUGUUGCAGAGCGGCUGCAGCGUUGCAAUGGUGCUGAUGUCUGGGCAGACCUGAAGGUACAGCAGAUCCCACCACGUUGAGGAGAUCCAAGCUGGCCAUUGGCAUGAGUUUAAUGCAGAGGGUGAUACAGCAACAGGAAGCUCAGCACACUGCCAAAAAGAGCCCAAAGGACAUGGGGCGUUCACCCUGCAUUGACCAGGCAGCCCUGUGCUGUUCCAGCUCUCCUGUUUGGAGUGGCACUGGUGGAGUCUCCAACCAUUUGAUAGUUAAAAGGAAGUUUAGCCAACAAAAAAGCCCAAGAGAGAAACCUUUCAGUGCCUUAAAGCAGCCACAAGUGCUGCAUAUCCCAGGAGAGCUGGGCUGUAAUUCCUGCUAGCUUAGCAUCAAAGGGUGCUCCGAAACUUUACCUUCCUGGUGACGUCUCUUCUUCCCAAUGAAAGAUGACCCAGGUGACCCCUGAUUGAAUGUCUCGAUAGUCCAGAAGGCAGGGAGCAAGAUAAUUAGAGCCACCGCUCUGAUCACAGGAGGGAGGUGAAGCCCAGCAUGAAGACAUCUCAUCUCCAAGCUUUGGAGAUCCUCCUCCCAGUGCAAAGGCACGAGAUCUGUGACUCGAUGUCAAGAGAUAGCAGCAAUCCGCCCCGUGCAUCACUGUCCCAACUCCAGUUUCUCCUUGCAACCUGGCAGCCCUUCCUCCUUAAAGCUCACCAUCUUCCACCACAGUUCCUCCUACAGCUCCCACUUCUCCACCUCCCCGUAGAGCUCUCAUGGGCAGCACCGCGUAUUUCCAGUGCUGGAUCAAGGCUGCUAUUAGCCCUCACCUGGACCCUCGCUGUCUCAUUCACUCAUAUCCAACCUUUUUAGAUCCUUGUCCUGUUUCCCUCCCCCAGACAAGGAGCAUUAAGGAAAAAACGAUGAAAAGCCACAGCCAUCCAACUGAAAGCUCCCGCUUCCUCUUUGCUGCUUCUUCCCCCCCCCCCAUUUUUGCUGGAGCCCCAGGAAGCACCCACACAAGUGUAAAAUUGCUUCCAUGCCGGGCUCUGCUCACGUUAAAGCCCUCUGACUGCUGGUGCACAAGUCCCUGCACAGCACAAAUUGGACCAAUUUGGAGCGAUUAGUGAAGAAUUCACAUAUGGUGCCCAGCCAACACCGUGGACUGAUCGCCUCCUGCAGCCCAUUAAGGGCCAUUUAUUGUGAUGGGCCCAUUUGUCUUUGUUGUUAGUUCUGGCAUGGCUGGUGACAGCUCUUUGGCUGGCCACCGGGCCAACCUCUCCCUGCCAUCAUCUCGGGGGUAGGAGGGCAAAGCUGAGACACACAUUGAGGCUGACACCAGCUGAUGGAUGUCCCCAGGAGCCAUGCCAGGCUGGAGCAGCAGGAGGAACUACCAGUUGGGGUUGUGCGUUGGGUCCAGUGGCCAUGCAGGGAAUGAAGCUGUGUCUACGUACAGUGGUUGAACUGAGAUGAUGGUACCAACGAGGUGACGUGAUAGAGAACUGCCCUUCCCCUGCGACCCCAAUGCUUAAGGGCUUCCAGCAGAAAGCUUGCAUAGAAAGCUUCGUGUCUUCCAACCAUCCUUCAGCCAAAGUUGAAGCCCGUGGGCUUCGAAGGCCAAAGGAUGGAUGCUGAGGACCAACCAAAGCAGGCAGGCUGGCCGCAGGAACACACCUCCAUGCUUUCUGCAGCUCCAGAAAGAAUGGGGAAAGAAAGAAGCAGCAGAGAACGCACUGAGGAGUGCCCUUGGAACAUAUUUUACCAUGGCUGGAGUUGAGCUGUUGCCCAGAUGACCGUGAGUUCACUUCCAGUAGCAAAAAGAUGCUUUCUGCUGCCACCAUUCCUCUGGCAAAGCAAGGUGAAUAGGCCAACGUAUGUUUACAUUGGUGUAAUGAUAACCAGACUGGUGGUUAUGUGUACAUGACUACAGAGCAAAAAAAUUCAUGCCCUGUAACUGACACAGGUGUCACAGCUCAGAACCGUCAGCAGGGCCGAGCAAUUUUAGAGGGACUAAAAUGGAAAGCAAAUGGUGCCACGUGGCGCUUUGCUUUCACAGAUGAGGAUUUUGAGGAGUUUGGAAUUUGGAAUUUCUCUUUCAAAAUCGAUCCUUUCAUGGCACGAGAGCUGAGAUGGGAAGAGAACAACCAAGGGACUUUAAUAUCAUAAAUGAAAUAUUUCCAUUCUUUGAGCUAUUGUUCUGACCAAAGCACUCGCCCACAAUUACCAUAAAAGCCUGCAAUUGAGCAGAAUUUACGGUUAUUGGUUAAAAAAAAAGGGAAAAAAACCAAUUUCAGAGCAAUCUUUUUGCCUCCUUUUGGCCCAGGUCCUCUUUGAAAUGGCAUUUAUGAAGGCUGACCUGUUUUUAACCUUCCUACAAGGGAAAAAACAGAUCAACACAAUCCCCCUCCCCAGCAGUCAACUUUCCCUGGCGGAGCUGAGCCAUAUUUUAACACCUCGGUCCCUUUGACAGCACCAUCCUAUGGGCUGCCAUGCGCUGACAGCCCCCAUUGUGUCCUUCCAGGGUAAUUAAGAACUUGAUCCAGAGCUUUUAAACCUCUUGGGCUGACGGAUACCCUCUGAAGCAAGGCACUGUCACUCUUUGGGGUGCUAAAAGGUUUCUGUCCCAGGCCAAGGGGCACCGGGACACCUGGGUCCGUUUCAGAGCUAUUUAGCCAUCUCCUUGUCAAGUGGGGCUAUUUGGGGAAUUGGGGUCAAUUAUAACCAGCCCUCACCUGUCUUGCUUCUAUGGAGAACUGGAGCCAGAUGGCAACGUGUAGGGUUGGCCUCUCCCUUUGUGCAGAGCUCAACUCAUCCCCUUCCCAUGGGGAAGAUGAACAUGGAGCUGCAAACCACCCCACAGCACUGCUUGAAAUAUGGUGGAACGGAGUGGAGUAGAGUGGAAUGAGUGGGAAAGGAGAUGUUCUUUCUGCUCUGAGCCCAUCAUCAGAUGAACCUCAGACACAGCAGUGAUCUCAGUGGGUACUGGGAGGCUGAAGCCAAGCAUCCUCAAAUCCACCCUCCCCAGUCCCAAAGCUGGUGAGUUUCUGCCAUCCAGGCAGGAAUUUCACGGCCACUUUGAGGUUAAAUCUGCCGUAAUUCCAGGCAUGUCCAACCUGCAGCUUCUCCAAGGGAUUCUCAAGUACACAAAUGGAUUUAGGAGCUUGGAGAUGGGACUUAGGCUCUGAAAUGGCUUUUCUGCCUUUGCUAAUCUCCCUGGCAGACUUCGUCAAGGCAGUUGUGUGCUGCCCACCAGAUUUCCAUGAUGUGAUCUUGUCUUUCUCCUCCUUGUUCUGAUUAAUAAUACUUUUUUGCAUUGCAUGAGAGGGCAAUGCACGGUGAGACUCUCCCACUCUGUUUAUCCAUACGGCGUUUUCGGGUGACGUUUGCCCAACAUUAGUGCACUUUAGCCUUUUGUCACUGAUUUCAGAAAAGCCAACAUUUCAGCCAUGUUCCCGAUUUUCUCCUUCCCUCUCGUGCUGCCGCCGCACUCUCUGCAGAUCUCCUUAACCAGAGGGAUGUUUGAAACCUCGCGUCCACUUUUUCCCCGCUGCCAGAAGUGACGUGAGGUGCAGCAGCCUUUGAUGAACCCUCUGGGACUCAUCAUUUGCUGGGGUGAUUCAGCAGCAGAUCACACACUCACGGUGCCCUUCCAGAGUGAUGCGCACAACGAAUCAGCGAAGCAAGCAAAACCAGCCGUGCAAAUCAAGACGUGCUCCCAGCUGAGGACCCGACCGACUCUUCCAUCAUGAGCGUGCGAUGCACCUUCCCCAUGUCACCCGACCCAGACCCUCCAACAGACAUUCUCUGUUGCUCAAGAAGACCAGGGUGGAAGAGGUGAAAUGUGUGCCUUCUUCCUCAUUUGAUGUCCUUGUUGCACUGUUUGGACACAGAGAAACUGCCUCUCAUUUUUGGUCAAAGAAUGGCACCGUGUCAGAAUGUCAGCUGAUGGCUAUACAUGUGCCUUGCUUUGGGGGAGAUGGUUCAGCCUCUCCGUGCGAAGCAGCUUUUCCAUGCCCUUCAGCACAUGGUUGCCCUUCUCCAGCCCUCCUGUAACUCCACAUCUUGGAACACAGUGGCUGGAGUGACACGUGGUACCCCAAACACGAGCACAGCAAGGUUCUGUGGAGCAGCACAACAGCCCCCUCUGCAUUCUCCUCGGUGCCCUUCGUGGAGAUACCCCAUUCCGUUGGCUGCUUUGGCUGUCAUCACGCAUUAAGCCAAUGAUAUCAUAGGAUUGCAGUGGUGGCUCCAAGAUCUCUUCCCUGAGCUGUAUCCCCUUCUGAGUUCAGCACUGUGCAGGCAUGAUUUAUUUACACCACCUUUUCCCAGAUGUGUUAUUAUAAUUUACACUCGAGAUAACUCGCCUGAUUGUUGCCCACUCAUUCAGUGGUGUGAGUGCCUUCUGGAGCCACUCACUCCUGGUGCACCCACAAGAGCCCGAAGCACUUUGUUAAGCAAGCACCAAUUUGCCAUUUUAUCCCAUGCUCUUAUAGAUUCUGAAGGUUUCUUGCUAUCAUUCCCUUUAGGAAGUCUAUUUAUUUGUUCGUUUCUUU